GCGGGCCCCAGGAUCCGGAGCUUCGGGCGGGGCGGAGUCCGAGUUUGGGGCCCGGGAGGCGGGGCCAGUUAGGGUGAGGGUCCCUGGGAUCGACGGGUCAGGUCUUGGGCUAACGUAGGCACUCUCGCAGUUCCUCCGCCUUCAGGAAGGUCUUUUUAGCAGAGGCCUUACGGGUGCGCGCUUCGGUCCUGGAGGCCUUAUCCUAACCUCCUCUCCAUCAGCGCCACCCGUCUGGGGCCCGAAACGAGGGAGCUUUCCCUCUGUCCCCCAGCCUUUGGACUGUCACCAAACAAGCCAUUCGUUCAUCAAAAAUACUUAUUAAGCGCCUACCAUGUGCCUGACAAGGGAGAUGUAACGCUGUUGUUCCACACCAGAACCAAAUGAGCGCAAGAUCUGACAAAGAAAAAAAAAGGUUCAUCUUUUAUUCCUCCAAACACUUUCAUUUAAAUCAAGAGGAUGGGAUGUGGUUAUUGCUGUGUUUUUAGGCAGAAUCAACGGUUUCUGGGUCUGAGAUGGUGCAUACACCCUCUCAGUCCCUGUAUCCUGAGAUGGAGUCACCUAAGAAUCCACAGCAAGUCCUAACCAGGGAUGGGUCUGGGUGAUUAAGGAAGGUUGGCUUCAGAACUGGGCCAGGGGCACUGCUUUGCUUUUGCUGUUUUGAUCAGCUCUCUGCCUGCAGGAGACAAGGAAAACCAAUGGGAACAG
rnacentral:lncRNA from 10 species